UGCUGAUUCACCUCCUCCUGGAGCCGGAUUGGGCGGCUCCUGCAGACCAAUCAGGUUGCUGUCUUCUAGAAUCCUACCUGCCUAUUGUUCUAGGAUCCAAGCUCAGUAUAUAACAGACCCUCUUUCAGCUGUCAUCCACAGAAGACAUUCCACUAGGGUGGGUGUGAGGGGGGGGAGAGAUGGGGUAGAAGGGCCUCUCCAUCAGCACAGAGGAAAGACCUUUGUCUCCUCUCCAAAUUUUCCAUCCCUAAUUUUCACUACAAGUUUCUCUGUAACUAAGAAUCAGGGCCCAAGCUUGCAUUUCCCUCCUUCCUCCCAAACCCUUUUCCUUUUGUGUUGUGUCUUUUAAAUUGUGAGCCUGAGGACAGAGACUGUCUUCUCCCUAAUAUCUGUAAUCCUGUCUGGGAGGGGUUUGCUUCCAACUGAAAAGUGGAAUAAAAAUGCUUAACCACCACCACAACAGCUACUACUACUUCAUGGCAAAGGUGGCAUUCAAACUGGGUAAUUGCUGAUUCACAGCCUGGUCCUGUUGAGAUGGUGUUGAGAGAAUAUUGGCUUGGAACUCCAGCAAGCAUGUUGCCAGCCCAAUUGUUUGCUGACAGUAGAAAACACCCCCACACCCCCUUUCACACAUUACAAAACUGCUGGGGGGGCAGGGGCACUGAGUGAGAUGACAGGAUGAGUGACCCAAGCCGGCCAAAAAAUGGCACAGAAAAUCCAUCCUUUGUUGAUCAGGCAACACAGUACAGUUCUGCCAAAACAAGCCCUGAUGGAUGCGCACUGGCUGAUUUCUCAAGCACUUUAUAAAUAUUAAUGGCAAUGAUAGAGCCUCUCAAAAUUUGUCAUGUCACAUCGCUCUUAGAAAAACGCUCCGUGUGCGACUUCGAUCAGGUGGUGGUUGUUUUUCCCACCAAACAACUGCAAACUCUACUUUGUAAGGUUAUCCUCGCCCAAGAUUCUCCCCCCCACCCCCACCCUCACCACCCCAAAAGAAAAGAAAUGCAAGGUAUGGGGUGGACAUAUGCUAGCUUUUCAUAAAUGUAAAGGUGCUGUAAUAGAACCACUGGGGCUGGCUCUACCAUGAGCUUUGCUGAGCCAUUGGCUCGAGUGGCAGAUCAGGAAGGGCAGCAGACAGAGACCUGAGAGCAGAGGAGGCUGGUCACUAGGGCAAGGUGGGUACCCAGACUUGGUUGGCUGGUUGGAGGAUAGAGAGGGGCCGUAGAAACUAACCCAUAUUACAAAGGUAACAUUUACAUUUGUUUUUCAGGUGCCCACCAAAUGUAUGUGGCCCUCCAAAGGUAAUGUGGCCCUCAAGCUGGAAAAGGUGCCCUACCCCUGAUUUAACAGAAUGCCAGUACUGCCAAUCAACAAAAGGUGCCAUACUACAGUGGCUUGCAAAUAUAAACUUCUUCUUUUAGUGCUACAGAAUUUGCCAAGACAAAUACACAUGGGUUGAGAAAUAUGAA